UAUCUCUGUAGAGUCUGCAUAUCAAUAAGCGGAGGAAAAGAAACUAACAUAGGAUUCCCUCAGUAACGGCGAGUGAAGCGGGAAGAGCUCAAAUUUGAAAUCUUCAAGGUUCUACCUUGACGAAUUGUAGUUUAAAGAAGUGUUUUCUGUUGGAGUUUUGGUAAAAGUUCUUUGGAAUAGGACAUCAUAGAGGGUGAGAAUCCCGUAUUUGACCAUUAUUUCCAGCUGUGUGAUACACUUUCAAAGAGUCGGAUUGUUUGGGAAUGCAGUCCAAAAUGGGUGGUAAAUUUCAUCUAAAGCUAAAUAUUGGCGAGAGACCGAUAGCGAACAAGUACCGUGAGGGAAAGAUGAAAAGAACUUUGAAAAGAGAGUUAAACAGUACGUGAAAUUGUCAAAAGGGAAGCGUUUGACACCAGUGUUGUUUUUCCGAAAAUCAAUUAAGAAUGUUUUAUUUUUGAGGAGUUAUGACUUCAUCGGCUUGCUCCUUUCUUUAUGGAACUUUCUUAAUGCACUUUUCGGUUAACAAGUCAACAUCAAUUUCUUUUGUUGUAAAAGAGUACGAGGAAGGUGGCUUUCUUUUCGGAGAAAGUGUUUAUAGCCUUGGACUUCUGCAAUCGGAGAGAUUGAGGUCUGCAGCGUAGAUCCUUCGGGGUUAGAUACACUUCGUGCUAAGUUAUAGCCUUUCAUAGACAACUUGUUGAUUAUGAUUAGUCAUUGUAGCUUACUCGCUUAUGCUAUUUUACCUACGCUUAGGAUGUUGAGUAGCGACAUACGCAC
rnacentral:rRNA from 1 species